GGGAAGUGCUUCUGAAUUCCUGCACAGUGAAAAGCUUCUUGGCCCACCUCAGUAAUUUGCUAAUCUUACACUAUAGGAAGAGGUAUCUUCCACAGAAAAUAUUGGCGGAGCAAGCCUGGUAGCAGAUUGGCUGCUGUGUCCUACAUUACAGCAGUGACUGUACUUCGGAAGUAUUUGAUUGGGUUUCAAGAGCUUUGAGGCAUCCUGAGGUUGAGAAAGGUGCUAUAUCAAUGCAAAUCUUUCUUCUAUAGUUACCUACACAAUUUAUCUCAGGAAAAAUACCAGCAUUUCAUUGUUUAUGCUGGUAUUGUACAAAAAGUCACAACAUAAGCCUUCCAGGCUUUCCACAGGAUUCCAAAUGGAACUUGGCUUUCUUUUCCAAAUAAAAAUUGGUUGUUCAAAUCUGGAACAUCACCUGAUUUAAAGUGAAUGCUAAAGUUGCUUUCAAAGUCAUAGGCCAC